rnacentral:rRNA from 1 species
GCACGGGUGGCGUAACACGUAUGUAACCUACCCUUACCAGGGGGAUAGCCUCUCGAAAGAGAGAUUAAGCCCGCAUAACAUUAAGACACAGCAUUGUGAUUUAAUCAAAUAUUUAUAGGAUAAGGAUGGGCAUGCGGAACAUUAGCUAGUUGGCGGGGUAACGGCCCACCAAGGCGACGAUGUUUAGGGGAUCUGAGAGGAUGGCCCCCCAACUGGUACUGAGACACGGACCAGACUCCUACGGGAGGCAGCAGUAAGGAAUAUUGGUCAAUGGGCGCAAGCCUGAACCAGCCAUGCCGCGUGCAGGAAGACGGCCCUACGGGUUGUAAACUGCUUUUAUACGGGAAUAAACCUACUUACGUGUAAGUAGCUGAAUGUACUGUAAGAAUAAGGAUCGGCUAACUCCGUGCCAGCAGCCGCGGUAAUACGGAGGAUCCAAGCGUUAUCCGGAUUUAUUGGGUUUAAAGGGUGCGUAGGUGGCCUGUUAAGUCAGGGGUGAAAGACGGUAGCUUAACUAUCGCAGUGCCCUUGAUACUGAUGGGCUUGAAUGAACUAGAGGUAGGCGGAAUGUGACAAGUAGCGGUGAAAUGCAUAGAUAUGUCACAGAAC